UAUCAACAUUUCUUGAUAUACAAAAACAACCUAUUUCUCUAAUGUGUAAUCAUAUCAGUCAUUUUUAGAUUAGGAAUCACAAGAAUAACUAUUGACAAGUGAUAAUCGGUAUUUCAGUAAUGAUUUAUACACUUCACUAUAUAUUGACAGUUAUAAUAGUUUGUAAUGGACAUUCAGACUUCAAUUUGCAAUACGCCAUUUAUAAAGUCAUUGAAGGAAAGAGAACAACAACGACAUCAAAUGUGGCUGUAAAUGGUAUAUCGAAAUUGGCUUGCUCCGUACUAUGUUCAUCAAGAAAUGACUGUUGCAUGGCUGCUUAUGAUACUGUUAAUUCAGACUGCAUUGUUGAUGUUUCUGGAAGUUGUUGCUUGCCUACAACAUCAACUGUUGGGUGGCAUGUGAUGGCAAAAGAGAAGAUCGGCUGUGAGUGUGGAUGGUUGCAACAUGGAAAUAGUUGUUAUUAUGUUCCGACUGACAAAAUGACAUGGCCAGCUGCUCAGUCAUUCUGUGCCACACGUGGUAGCCAGUUGCUCACAAUCAAUGAUCAAGAUGAGAAUAAUUGGAUUUAUUCUACAGUUGGUGAAUUAUCAUAUGUAUCAGGGACAUUUUUCUGGAUAGCCGGGAUUCGUGAUUCUGGUGGCGAUAUUGUAUGGCAAGACACACAUGCAGCACAAAUCUCAAUUUUAUAUUCUAACUGGAAAUCUGGUGAACCAAAUGGUCCUGCUGGUGUGGCUGACUGUGCAAGUGUGUACAUUAGCUCUGGUAAAUGGGAUGAUAUAAGAUGCGACGGAAUCCAUACUGUUGUGUGUAAAAAACUUGAAAGCUGAAAUCACAGGGUAGUUUGCAAGUUUGACUCGUUAAACAGACACAAUAUAUUCUUUAACAAUUCAUGUAUUGUAUUUUAGAUAUUGGCCUGUUAUGUUUCUUUUCUCGUCACUUGAACAUAUUUAGGGUCAGUGUCCCUGA